GGUAAUUAGUUUAAUUAAAACAAAUGAUUUCGACUCAUUAGAUUGUGGCCCAACCAUAAUUAUCA
rnacentral:tRNA from 1 species